CUUUAUUGGAGAGUUUGAUCCUGGCUCAGGACGAACGCUGGCGGCAUGCCUAAUACAUGCAAGUCGAGCGGACUUGAUGAGAAGCUUGCUUCUCUGAUGGUUAGCGGCGGACGGGUGAGUAACACGUAGGCAACCUGCCCUCAAGUUUGGGACAACUACCGGAAACGGUAGCUAAUACCGAAUA
rnacentral:rRNA from 1 species